UAGGGAAUAUUGGUAAUGUGCGAAAGCGCGAACCAGCAACGCCGCGUGUGCGAUGACGGCCUUCGGGUUGUAAAGCACUUUUUGAGGGGAUGAGGAAGGACAGUACCCUCAGAAUAAGCCUCGGCUAACUACGUGCCAGCAGCCGCGGUAAAACGUAGGAGGCGAGCGUUAUCCGGAUUUACUGGGCGUAAAGCGUGUGUAGGCGGUUUGAUAAGUUGGAUGUGAAAGCUCCUGGCUUAACUGGGAGAGGUCGUUCAAAACUAUCAGACUUGAGAGUGGUAGAGGGAGGUGGAAUUCCGGGUGUAGCGGUGGAAUGCGCAGAUAUCCGGAGGAACACCAGUGGCGAAGGCGGCCUCCUGGACCACUCCUGACACUCAGACGCGAAAGCUAGGGUAGCAAACG
rnacentral:rRNA from 1 species